UGCGCAGGGAACAAUGGUUUUUCAGCUCAGGGCUUGAGAAGGGCAAAGAGGGAAUCCAAAAGCAGAAAUAUGGGCAACCCUUCAGAAUGGGCCAUUGUUCAGCUGGGAGCAGAAAGGGAUUUGCAACAGACAAAAAGAGAAGCCGCUUUCACAGGAGCGAUAAAUUGGAAAUGUUAUCUGGCUUGAUAUGCCAGUUUUUCUGAGAAAAUCACUCUGCCAGUGGUGACAGAAUGGAAGAGCUGAAAACAUCUUCUUUUUUCAAAGUCAUAUGUCACGAACCAAGGAGACUCCAAAAAAUAAAUUAUGGAAGAUUAUGACCACUGCUGCCAAGGAUACAGUGAAAUAGGUACAUCUUGUAUGCCCAGUAAUGUUGAAAAUUAAUAUAACCUUAUUUAAAAAGCAAUUUGGAGAUGUUGAAAGAAAGCCUGAAGAUUACCACCAUGCUUCAUGAUUCUAUCCAGGUGUCCCACAUAUGAGAGCCAA
rnacentral:lncRNA from 10 species